AUUUCUUUACAGGAAACCGUUCACCUCAACCAGAGUUAUAUUUCAUAGAAUUAUGUUGACCAUGAUCCAAAUAUUGCCAUGAGUAUAAGAUAGAUGUUUGAUUUGCAAACUGGAUUUAAAUCAUAUUUUCUUUAAACAUAUUUAUUUGCUCUUUAUAUACUUACAAAUAGUUUAUUAGAAAAAAAUUAUAUACUUAUUUACUAAACCGUUUUAUUUCAAUCAAUUAUUUGAUUUUUUAUAUUUUUCAAGGAAUUUUUAUAGUAUAUUAUAUUGCACUAUGUUUUUUUUUUUUGUAUGGUGAAAACUAUGUUCAAUUUACAAACUAUAUUUUAUUUUAUCAAAAUAUAUUUUUAUUGAUGUAUUCUGUCUCUGAUUCUUUCUUUUUCAGAUGUGCACUUGUGUCUUAGGCUUAUGCUUUGCAAAAGGUUCACCAUCGCCCUUAAGUUGCUGUGGGUUUUACGGUUUUACUUCCAACCUAGCAUAUAAAUGCACUUAGUAUUUGAAGUUAUUUGUCAAUAACUGGGGAUCAGACUUUCAAACGAACACGUUUUUAAGAGCUGAGAAGGUGAAAGUUAGAAGUCUGGAGACUGCAACGUAAAUCAAUUUUCAACACAUGGUUUUCUGAAUAUAUUUAGUUUUCGAUUGAAAUGAAAAUAAGCUGAACUUAUAGAUAUGUUGAAAAUUAACUAUUUUAUAUUUUAAACGUUCGCUAAACGCAAGUGAAGCAAUAAUCUAUAAAUGCAAAUAUACUUUAUAUUUUGUUUU